rnacentral:rRNA from 1 species
GACGAACGCUGGCGGCGUGCUUAACACAUGCAAGUCGAGCGGUAAGGCCCUUUCGGGGGUACGACGAGCGGCGAACGGGUGAGUAACACGUGGGUGACCUGCCCUCAGCUCUGGGAUAAGCCUGGGAAACCGGGUCUAAUACUGGAUAUGACUCCAUGACGCAUGUUGUGGGGUGGAAAGCCUUGUGCGGCUGAGGAUGGGCCCGCGGCCUAUCAGCUUGUUGGUGGGGUGANGGCCUACCAAGGCGACGACGGGUAGCCGGCCUGAGAGGGCGACCGGCCACACUGGGGACUG